rnacentral:rRNA from 1 species
GACGAACGCUGGCGGCGUGCUUAACACAUGCAAGUCGAACGGAAAGGCCUCUUUCGGGGGGUACUCGAGUGGCGAACGGGUGAGUAACACGUGAGUAACCUGCCCUUGACUUUGGGAUAACUUCAGGAAACUGGGGCUAAUACCGGAUAGGAGCUCCUGCUGCAUGGUGGGGUUGGAAAGUUUCGGCGGUUGGGGAUGGACUCGCGGCUUAUCAGCUUGUUGGUGGGGCAGUGGCUUACCAAGGCUUUGACGGGUAGCCGGCCUGAGAGGGUGACCGGCCACAUUGGGACUGAGAUACGGCCCAGACUCCUACGGGAGGCAGCAGUGGGGAAUAUUGCACAAUGGGUGGAAGCCUGAUGCAGCAACGCCGUGUGCGGGAUGACGGCCUUCGGGUUGUAAACCGCUUUCGCUCAUGACGAAGCUUUGUGUGACGGUAGUGGGUAAAGAAGCACCGGCUAACUACGUG